ensembl:lncRNA
GGGUUGUGGGGUUAUGGGGCUGGAGGUCGGGGCUGUGGGCUGUGGGGUUGUGGGGCUGUGGGAUUAUGGGGACUGGAGGCUGUGGGGCUGUGGGGUUAUGGGGACUGGAGGCUGUGGGUUUAUGGGGCUGUGGGGUUGUGGGGCUGGAGGUCAGGGCUGUGGGUUUAUGGGGCUGGAGGCUGUGGGGCUGGGGGGUCAUGGGGCUGGGGGGCCAUAGGGCUGGAGGCCAGGAGCUGUGGGGUUAUGGGGCUGUGGGGUUAUGGGGUUAUGGGCUGUGGGUUUGUGGGGCUGUGGGGCCAUGGGUCUGGGGGCUGUGGGGCUGGGGGCUGUGGGGCUAUGGGGACUGGAGGUUGUGGGGCUGGAGGCCAGGGGCUGUAGGGUUGUGGGGCUGGAGGUCAGGGCGGUGGGGUUAUGGGCUGGAAGCUUUGGGGCUGGGGGUUAUGGGGCUGGAGGUCAGGGCCAUGGGGCUGGGGGGCCAUGGGGCUG